rnacentral:lncRNA from 1 species
GUUGGAGCCGAUCAUCGCUACAUGCUCCGCGUUCCCGUCAUUCAAAGGGAUUGGUACUAGAUCUUCAAUUGGGGUGCCCCUCUCUUCGGUGAGGUCAUCGCGAGCAUCCAAUCCAUCAACGGGACAGGGGUCAGAUUGGUCGCUUCUUUGCAAGGCUAUGUUGUAGCAGUGCCUGGCCAGGGCUUGGUCUCCCCGGACCUCUCCGAUCCCCUGGUUGGUGGGGAGUUUCAACU